rnacentral:lncRNA from 1 species
UUCCACAAACAUGCUCCCACUCCCGACCUUUGAAGCGGGAGGGCCCAAAGCUAUAAACUCUCCGCAACCAGAGGCACGGAGAAAGCGAGCUGGCCCCGGAGGCGACCCAGGGCGAUAGGGCAAGGCGGCCGCGCCCACACUCCCAGCUCGCCGGAAGGGACACGGUGCCAGCGCCACCAGGACUGACACCUCACCUGCUCCUGCAGCCGGACCACCGCUGCACCCGCGGCCCCGACGCAGAAAGCACGCAGAGAUACCGACGGAUCCCGGUGCACAGGUGGCUGCAGGCACUCCCCCGUGCCUAAACAGUCUCCUUCCCACAGGCCCACUUGAGAAGCGACUCUUGCCGCACAAGUGGGCGCCAGCAACCUCUCCUUCUCCUCAAUCUACAUGAGRGGAGUGCCAGCGGGCGACCUAACGCCCCCGAGAGCCGCUCUCGCGCACCCACUGUUACGCGUUCAACGGCAGGCAGCCAGCGCCGCUCUCACCGCGCGAGGGCGGUGGGGGCACGCGGCGCGAGCAGGAACAGCGUCCCUUGACGCGCGGAAUUGGGCUGCCCCAGGGCAAAGAUGGGAGGACUGGGGCCGGGGUUUGAGACCCCCGCGCCGGCGGAAGGGGAUGAGCCACGAAGAGGGAGCUGCGAAGCAGCAAAAUCACCCACAGACACCGCUUACCCGCCUCCCCGGCCAGCCUGGGAGAGCCCGUGCACAUGCGCAGCGUUCCGCCCACCGCUGUCGGAGGUAAAGCCCGAGCUGGCGUUCCCUCGAGCAGGACUGGGACUCGGGGGGCGGGGCCGCCGCCAGCGGCGUCUGUGUCUGUGUCCCCGCGGCGCGUGCGGGCCUCGUGUUCCUCCGCGGAACCGAGCAGGGGAGCGAGGCGCCGCGCUGCUGUUGCCGCCCCAACAGCGCCUGCGCCGGGAGCUUUGCCCGCGGGCCAGUGCCAGGUGCAAAACGGCUUCCCCAUCCCCUUUUGGGGGACGYUGGGUUUUUACGCGUCACUUCCCAGGGCACUGUUCAGCGCGGCUGCAUCUGAAGGGCGAGGGUCCCCCAAGGCGGCACAGGGAGCCCUGCUGCCCCGCGCCAGCCGCGGCCCGAGUGCCUAGCAGUGCAGCGCAGGAUGUUCCUGAAUUUGUGUAUCAGCUGCAGCUUGCAUGUUUGCCUUGGGUGAUGCAUUCUUCUUUGUCAAGCUAG